UACCAGCACCCCGAGUGGUCGGGACGUUUAUUGGGCCUAAAGCAUCCGUAGCCGGUUCUACAAGUCUUCCGUUAAAUCCACCUGCUUAACAGAUGGGCUGCGGAGGAUACUACAAGACUAGGAGGCAGGAGAGGCAAGCGGUACUCAGUGGGUAGGGGUAAAAUCCGUUGAUCCAUUGAAGACCACCAGUGGCGAAGGCGGCUUGCCAGAAUGCGCUCGACGGUGAGGGAUGAAAGCUGGGGGAGCAAACCGG
rnacentral:rRNA from 1 species